GACGAACGCUGGCGACGUGCUUAACACAUGCAAGUCGAACGAUGAAGAAGAGCUUGCUCUUCGGAUUAGUGGCGAACGGGUGAGUAACACGUGACUAACCUGCCCCUUUCUCUGGGAUAACGCUCCGAAAGGAGUGCUAAUACCGGAUACUCACAUCGAGGCACAUGCCUUGAUGUGGAAAGUUUUUCGGAAAGGGAUGGAGUCGCGGCCUAUCAGCUUGUUGGUGAGGUAACGGCUCACCAAGGCGACGACGGGUAGCCGGCCUGGGAGGGCGACCGGCCACACUGGGACUGAGACACUGCCCAGACUCCUACGGGAGGCAGCAGUGGGGAAUAUUGCACAAUGGGCGAAAGCCUGAUGCAGCGACGCCGCGUGAGGGAUGAAGGUCUUCGGAUUGUAAACCUCUUUCAGUAGGGACGAAGCGAAAGUGACGGUACCUAAAGAAGAAGCACCGGCUAACUACGUGCCAGCAGCCGCCGUAA
rnacentral:rRNA from 1 species